UUCAUUCAGAAACUACACGAUUUUUGUUGCUAUAUUUCGUUAGAAAGGAAGGAGAGGCUGUUUCUACAGGUGUCAUAGAAAAAUCAAUACUGAGCCACGGAUUAUUGGAUCCCAUAGAACCAUGGAGACUUGGCAGUGAAAUUCUUCCAAAGCAUUCCGCCCAUGCAGGCAGACCGUGUUCCUAGGUUUGGAAGUAUAAAUCCCAGGGGAAGUGAGCUGAACAACAUUUUAUGCAUCACUCAUCCUAUUAUGAGCCCUGUGCUGUUCUAUCUCUCUACAAGGUUGGCUGAAACAACAACGACAAAAAUUGUUUAUAAUCUGUAUUCUAACUUUGGAUCAUCUAGUUAAUACCCUGAUUCUGAUUACCCAGAAAGAUAAUAUUCUAUAAGAAAGACUGUCUAUUAGAAGGCUGCUGCUGUAUUAUUAAUAAAAUAACAAGGAAAAUGCAACAUUCUGGAUGUCCCAUCUGAUAAGUUACAGUUAAAGAACAGAAACAGAGCAAUAAGACUGCGUGGCUACAUUUUCCCAGUGCCACCAACUGGGAGUUAAGCUGACUAACAUUUUGAAAGUCCAGCCCAUUUCCCUCACAGCAGGCACGGCAGGAGUUAUCAUAGAGAGGAACUCUAGCUGUGUUUUUGCUGCACACGUGCGUUUUAUUUCAAGACUGAGAAAUGUA